GAUGAACGCUGGCGGCGUGCCUAAUACAUGCAAGUCGAGCGAACAGAUGAGGAGCUUGCUCCUCUGACGUUAGCGGCGGACGGGUGAGUAACACGUGGAUAACCUACCUAUAAGACUGGGAUAACUACGGGAACCGGAGCUAAUACCGGAUAAUAUAUUGAACCGCAUGGUUCAAUAGUGAAAGACGGUUUUGCUGUCACUUAUAGAUGGAUCCGCGCCGCAUUAGCUAGUUGGUAAGGUAACGGCUUACCAAGGCAACGAUGCGUAGCCGACCUGAGAGGGUGAUCGGCCACACUGGAACUGAGACACGGUCCAGACUCCUACGGGAGGCAGCAGUAGGGAAUCUUCCGCAAUGGGCGAAAGCCUGACGGAGCAACGCCGCGUGAGUGAUGAAGGUCUUCGGAUCGUAAAACUCUGUUAUUAGGGAAGAACAAAUGUGUAAGUAACUAUGCACGUCUUGACGGUACCUAAUCAGAAAGCCACGGCUAACUACGUG
rnacentral:rRNA from 1 species